CUUCUUCUGUCUGCGAUGGGUCUUGCAUUUUUAACCUAUAUAUAUAUAUGUUUUAAGAAACACUUUUCUCAAGAUGAAAUGCGUGUCCAACUUUCGCAAUUUACGGACACGGCCUCAACAUGUUUCUUGGUUGUGUCCCAAAGUUUCCGACACACAAACGUUUCCAAAACGGGGAAAAGUUUGACCAUGCCGUUUUCAUGCUUCAGAGCUUUUAAGUAAAUGAGAAACCCAAGCUUUCUCAUUUUCAGCCAAUCAUCCAACUAACCUAGAAAUUGUCUCUUCAUUGUUCUCCUGAAAUUCCAUCGAGUUGCUUCUAAGCCAUUCUUCAACCUUACUAGUAGACCUAUUAUAUUUUGGUGAUUCUUGGAUGAAGAGCUGUAAACCAUCUUCUUCUACCAUCCUAAAACCUAAAAUAAAAAAUUCCCUAACCCUAACCCAUGUGCCAUUAUGAAAGAGGAUAUAUCAAAAAGUUUAGCCAUUAAUUACAGAUAAAACCAUUCAACUUAAUUUCUGGAAAUAUUUUCAGUGUCAAAUUAAAAACCAUAUUGGUAUAACAAGUAUUACUUAAAACUAAGCACAAUUAUUAGAGACAAUGUAUCUUCAAGGUUAGAAUCAAAUUAUGGUAUGUCCUACAGGUAGAUAAACAUUCAAUACUACCUGAUGCAUGCUACAGACAAAAG
rnacentral:misc_RNA from 1 species